rnacentral:tRNA from 1 species
UGCGACUGAUGGCCGACUGGCUUAGGCACGGGCCUGCAAAGCCCUUUAACUGAGUUCGAUUCUCGGCGUCGCCUCCA